rnacentral:rRNA from 1 species
ACCCGCUCAGACGAACGCUGGCGGCGUGCUUAACACAUGCAAGUCGAACGAUGAAGCCUUCGGGUGGAUUAGUGGCGAACGGGUGAGUAACACGUGGGAAAUCUGCCCUGAACUCUGGGACAAGCCUUGGAAACGAGGUCUAAUACCGGAUAUGACCGUGGAGCGCAUGCUCUGUGGUGGAAAGCUCCGGCGGUUCAGGAUGAUCCCGCGGCCUAUCAGCUUGUUGGUGGGGUAAUGGCCUACCAAGGCGACGACGGGUAGCCGGCCUGAGAGGGCGACCGGCCACACUGGGACUGAGACACGGCCCAGACUCCUACGGGAGGCAGCAGUGGGGAAUAUUGCACAAUGGGCGAAAGCCUGAUGCAGCGACGCCGCGUGAGGGAUGACGGCCUUCGGGUUGUAAACCUCUUUCAGCAGGGAAGAAGCGCAAGUGACGGUACCUGCAGAAGAAGCACCGGCUAACUACGUGCCAGCAGCCGCGGUAAUACGUAGGGUGCGAGCGUUGUCCGGAAUUAUUGGGCGUAAAGAGCUCGUAGGCGGCCUGUCGCGUCGGAUGUGAAAGCCCGGGGCUUAACCCCGGGUCUGCAUUCGAUACGGGCAGGCUAGAGUGUGGUAGGGGAGAUCGGAAUUCCUGGUGUAGCGGUGAAAUGCGCAGAUAUCAGGAGGAACACCGGUGGCGAAGGCGGAUCUCUGGGCCAUUACUGACGCUGAGGAGCGAAAGCGUGGGGAGCGAACAGGAUUAGAUACCCUGGUAGUCCACGCCGUAAACGUUGGGAACUAGGUGUUGGCGACAUUCCACGUCGUCGGUGCCGCAGCUAACGCAUUAAGUCCCCGCCU